AAUCCAUGAUUAGGGCACCUUCUCAACAAAUCCUUAAAUCUCUCCCAUGCAUCUUAUAAUGUCUCCAUAUCAAUUUGAGCAAAAGAAGAGAUGUUAUUCCUCAACUU
rfam:Gossypium arboreum cultivar AKA8401 contig_3363_5, whole genome shotgun sequence.